AAACUUUAUUAGGGUAAUAUAAAAAGUCAGGCAAUUGUUUAUAGGGAAAAUACAAGCAGAAGAGCAAAUGUAAACCAUGGAAAAAACGCACUACCGUCCCCUGUGUUCCACCCCAAUUUUUUUUUGCCCAAAUAAGGACGGCUUUCUGGGAAGGCUUAAUAGCCUACUCCUAGCUUUAAAAGCAUGCUCAAUGAAUGAUUUCUUAAAGUGCUUUUAGUCCUGGAAUAGGCUUAAUCUGGGUCUGGGAAACUUCCCAUAGAGCCUCUCAUAGAUGGGCUUCCUUUGAUGUCUGUAUCCUUUUGCUCCAGACAUGAGGAGAGACUGUGACCUGGCCAUAUUCACUGACAUCCCCAAAUCGUUGUCUGAGGGUAUCCAGUUCUUCUGGCCGGAGAACAGUGUAUUGCUGACACCUGGGGAUACUGAGGGGAAACUACUUCCCCGAAACUUCAGCCCUGAAACUAAGACCCACACACGAGUACCUCACACAUGACACACACUCAUGAGGGGAAGGGUGUUAGAUGGGAGGGAUGAUGGAUAGAGAGGGAAGUGAAUAUUGACAAACUAUAGAAAUCUUCUGUUUCAGAGAGUAUUCUGCCACUGGAGUAGGUGAAGAGGCUUAUCUGCGCUUCGGAGGUAAAAGACAUGGCUGAAUUUGUCAUAAGACAGCUGUCGAUUUCCAGUUCUGUCUAGACUGUUUCCAU